rnacentral:rRNA from 1 species
UUUGAUCCUGGCUCAGAUUGAACGCUGGCGGCAUGCCUUACACAUGCAAGUCGAACGGCAGCGCGGGGCAACCUGGCGGCGAGUGGCGAACGGGUGAGUAAUAUAUCGGAACGUACCCUGGAGUGGGGGAUAACGUAGCGAAAGUUACGCUAAUACCGCAUACGAUCUAAGGAUGAAAGCAGGGGACCGCAAGGCCUUGUGCUCCUGGAGCGGCCGAUAUCUGAUUAGCUAGUUGGUGGGGUAAAGGCCCACCAAGGCAUCGAUCAGUAGCUGGUCUGAGAGGACGACCAGCCACACUGGAACUGAGACACGGUCCAGACUCCUACGGGAGGCAGCAGUGGGGAAUUUUGGACAAUGGGCGCAAGCCUGAUCCAGCAAUGCCGCGUGAGUGAAGAAGGCCUUCGGGUUGUAAAGCUCUUUUGUCAGGGAAGAAACGAUUUCCUCUAAUACAGGUGGUUAAUGACGGUACCUGAAGAAUA